rnacentral:rRNA from 1 species
UGCCAGACUCCUACGGGAGGCAGCAGUGGGGAAUAUUGCACAAUGGGGGAAACCCUGAUGCAGCGACGCCGCGUGGGUGACGAAGUAUUUCGGUAUGUAAAGCCCUAUCAGCAGGGAAGAAGAUGACAGUACCUGACCAAGAAGCCCCGGCUAACUACGUGCCAGCAGCCGCGGUAAUACGUAGGGGGCGAGCGUUAUCCGGAUUCACUGGGCGUAAAGGGAGCGCAGGCGGCACGGCAAGUCCGGUGUGAAAGCCCGGGGCCCAACCCCGGGACUGCACUGGAAACUGCCGGGCUGGAGUGUCGGAGGGGCAGGCGGAAUUCCUAGUGUAGCGGUGAAAUGCGUAGAUAUUAGGAGGAACACCGGUGGCGAAGGCGGCCUGCUGGACGACGACUGACGCUGAGGCUCGAAAGCGUGGGGAGCAAACAGGAUUAGAUACCCGGGUA